AAAAGAAAAAAGUCCUUUUGCCAACAUAGAUAAGCGGGUGAAAAUCCUAUCUCAUAAUAAUAUUAGUAGCUUCAAUGCACGGCAUAUCACUGAUGAAUUUCCUUUCUUGUGCUAAAUAUGGGAUUUUUGAAGCUAAUUUUUACUGCCCAGUGUUGCAGUGCCAGUUGCCCACCACUUCUUCAAGUAACAGAGUAGUCGUAUUGAGAUCAGAAUUGUCAUUGCCAAAUACCAAGAGAAAUAAUGGGGUUAUUCGCAGCAAGAUGCUUGAAACUAGUGUUAGUUCUGAAGCGACCCCCAAAACUCAAGUCCAAAAACUGGUCGAUCUACUCCAUGUAUGUGCUAAAGAAGAGUUAUUAAAUGAAGCCAAAGCUAUUCAUGGUUAUAUUCUGAAGUCUAAUAUUUCAGAUAAUAACUUGUUGCUGUUGCUUAAUCAUGUAUCACACGCAUAUUUAAGAUGCUCAGAUUUUAGCUCUUGUCAGGUAUUGUUCGAUAAAAUGUCACAGAAGAAUGUCUUUUCUUGGACUGUCAUGAUUGUGGGGUCAAUAGAAAAUGGAUUUUUCUAUGAUGGGUUUAAAUACUUCCAUGAGAUGCUAAAUUAUGGAGUGCUGCCAGAUGGAUUUGCUUACUCAGCUGCACUUCGGUUGUGUAUUGCUUUGGGAAGCCUUGAAUUGGGUAAAAUGGUACAUGCUCAGAUUGUUAUGAGAGGCUUUACUUCUAAUGUUGUUAUUAAUACAUCACUACUUAACAUGUAUGCGAAGUUGGGGAAUGUUAAAGAUUCAUCUCUGGUUUUCAACAGUAUGAGUGAAAGGAACGCGGUUUCUUGGAAUGCAAUAAUAUCAGGACUUACUGCUAAUGGUCUUCAUUUGGAAGCGUUCAAUCAUUUUCUUGAAAUGAAAAAUAAAGGACUUUCCCCAGAUGUAUACACUUUAGUUGGUGUGAUGAAGGCAGUUGGGAGAUUAGGUGAUAUUGGGAAGGGUAAGGUAGUCCAUAGUUGUGUCUGUGAGUUGGGUUUGGAGUCUAAUGUUGUUGUAGGAACUGCACUGAUUGAUAUGUAUGCUGAAUGUGGAGCUUUAUGUGAGGCAAGGGCUGUUUUUAAUUCUAAUUUCACCAAUUGUGGAGCAAAUAUGCCAUGGAAUUCAAUGAUUUCUGGUUGUGUACAGUGUAAAUGUAGCCAAGAAGCUCUGGAGCUGCAUGUUAAUAUGUGUAAAAAGAAUGUUACGUCUGAUAUAUACACUUACUGUAGUCUGUUCGAUGCAAUUGCUGAAUUGAAGUGUUCCAAGUUUUUAAGGGAGGUUCAUGCAGCAGUUCUUAAAUCUGAAUAUGAUUGUAUAGCCCUAAGCGUGCAAAAUGCAAUUGCAGAUGCUUAUGCUAAAUGUGGGUCUCUUGAGGAUGUAAGGAAGAUCCUUGAUAGAAUGGAACAUAGAGAUAUAGUGUCAUGGACCACCCUUGUGACUGCAUAUUCUCAAGAUUCCCAAUGGCAGGCAGCUAUAGCCGUCUUUUCUCAGAUGAGGGAAGAAGGCUUUGUAGUCAAUCAGUAUACUUUGGCUAGCAUCCUUGCUGCAUGCGCUAGUCUAUGCUAUCUUGAGUAUGGUCGACAACUUCACGGGCUCCUGUACAAAACUGGCUUACAGAAUGAGAGUUGCACAGAAAGUGCACUGGUGGAUAUGUAUGCCAAAUGCGGGAGCAUAAUUGAGGCCGAAAAGGUAUUUGGUUGUAUUUCCAAUGCUGAUGCCGUUUCGUGGACGGCCAUGAUAUCCGGGUAUGCCCAACAUGGUUCUGUAUUUUGUGCACUUGAACUAUUCAAGAAGAUGGAGGAGUUGGGAAUUAAACCUACUGCAGUUACAUUAUUGUGCAUUUUGUUUGCUUGUAGUCAUGGUGGAUUGGUUAAAGAAGGUCUUCGCUUUUUUUGGUCAAUGGGUAAAAGGUAUAAUUUGGUACCAGAGAUGCAACACUAUGCUUGUGUGGUUGAUCUCCUUGGCCGCGUGGGCCUUCUAAGUGAAGCAUUUGAAUUUAUCAGGAAAAUGCCUGUUGAACCGGGUGAAAUGGUUUGGCAAUCACUGUUAAGUGCAUGUAGGCUUCAUGGUGAUUCUGAGCUAGGAGAAAUAGCUGCCAAGAAGAUCCUUUCUGUUCACCCUCAAUAUUCAGCUACAUAUGUUCUUUUAUCCAAUACAUAUAUGGAAACUGGGAAAUUUAGAGAGGGAAUUGACUUGAGAAAUGUGAUGAAAAAGCAAGGGGUUAGAAAGGAGCCAGGCUAUAGUUGGAUUACGAUUAAUGGUAAGGCCCAUAAAUUUUAUUCGGGAGAUCAGGAACACCAACAGAGAGAUGACAUUUAUCUUACGCUGGAAGAACUAAGGGUGAAAAUGAAGGCUCUGGGUUAUACACCAGAUUUUAGAUAUGUUUUGACAAGUGGAGAUUGAAAUAGAACCUUUUAGCAGCUACUUAAUCAAGUCAACAUAUGGAAGUACAAUGUUACAUGAUUUUGGGGAAUGACUUAUAGGAGAAAGUCUCUUUAUGAUGAGAGUUUUGAACUCGCGGAACAUAUCAUUAGAAAGCAAACUUUGGUGCUACUACUACUUGAAAUCCUAAAUUCUAAAAGCUAAUAUUUUAUUGGGGACUUGUCUUUAGGUUUAAUCAUAGCACAGAGGUUAGAUAUUCUGUACAAAAUGAACUAUUUACCACCUCCGCUGCUACAAGACGGAGUAAAUGCAGAAACGUGGUAGACAAAUGAACUUUUCUUUAUGUUUUUCUCAUAGCACAGUUGUGGGCCUUCCUUUUUCUUUCUGUCUUGUUAGAAGUGUGCUCUCUCCAACAGCUUAAACUUUUAGAUGAGAUGGUCAAACACUUCGACAUGUCUGCUGUAUCCUAAACACUCGUUGCAAAUUCUGUCUCACAUCUUGAAAGUUUAAGCUGCAUGGCAUUAUGAAAGAUGCAACUUCAAGAGUCUCCCCAAAGGAAAAAGUGCCAAAAGCAGGGAAUCAGGGACCUUGUAUUCUUUUUGUCCCUUCUAAAUAUUGACUUCACUGGGACAUGCCCAGUGAAAAAAGGGUUCCUUUGGGAUGAAAUGGACUUGAACAGAGAUGAACAGAAUGGAUAAAGAGAACUCAUACAGCUGACACCUGAAUUAUUUGUUAUUAAGGCACAAUUGGUUGACUGAUUGAUGGCAGGACGUCUUAUAUUCAAAUCCAAAUUACCUGCAUUCUUUUAUAGACUGAAGUUCCAAGCUUGUGAAUUUUCGCUGAGUAGGAGUAUUUUCAUGGAUCAUAAACAUGCCAUUUCUUGCUACUAAUUGCUUAGACCAAGCCAGAAGUAGGAGGCUCUUCUCUAUGUUUCAGCAAGGAAGAAUUUAUCUUAAGAAGAGCUGGAGACAUUUAUAAAUUAAAGGGAUAGAAAGAGAGCCAGGUGAUGUUGCAAGAGGUAGUUUGGAGUAUCAUGGGAAAGAUUGGCAUUUUAAGAUAAUCCAAACCAGAUCACAACUUGACUGUUAAGUAUUCCAAUGUCACCUGAUAAAACCCCACAAGUCUAAGGUCAACGCCUACCAAGUUUUUAAUGAGAUGCAUGGACAGGUUGCAACAAGAGCUAUUUUUAUAAUAGUUGCAUUGGUUGUUCAUCCAUGCAAACUCAAUAUUUGUCUUAACGAUAUUUGGUUGUCCCAUGUGGCAUGAUAUUAUCUUAUGAACUGAUUCUUAGAGAAAGUAGGAAGCAUACAAAUUCUUAUUUGCUGCGAGAAAUGGACUACUUCUCUUCAGGAUUAAGGUCUCUUAAUCCACGGAGGAAGAUAUCUUAUAUGAGAAUUCAGUUAAACAUUAAAGUUUUUUUUUUUUUUUUUUUUUUUUUUUCAUUUUGCAUAUUUCCCACGAUUGUAAGCAUGUUUCAUGGUUUAACACAACUUCCAGGGGUAUUGACACAUCAGCAGAACAACAGUGCUCAAUUCCAUGACAAUGUGCUAGUACCCUUCUUGCCAAAAUGAUCACCUAAAUGCCACAUUUUAUUCCCCAUGUAUCCCAAUCAUUAAUAUGCUUUUCCUUAGAUGGUCUCAA